GAUGAACGCUAGCGGGAGGCCUAACACAUGCAAGCCGAGCGGUAUUUGUUCUUCGGAACAGAGAGAGCGGCGUACGGGUGCGUAACACGUGUGCAACCUACCUUUAUCAGGGGAAUAGCCUUUCGAAAGGAAGAUUAAUACUCCAUAAUAUAUUGAAUGGCAUCAUUCGAUAUUGAAAACUCCGGUGGAUAAAGAUGGGCACGCGCAAGAUUAGAUAGUUGGUGAGGUAACGGCUCACCAAGUCAAUGAUCUUUAGGGGUCCUGAGAGGGAGAUCCCCCACACUGGUACUGAGACACGGACCAGACUCCUACGGGAGGCAGCAGUGAGGAAUAUUGGACAAUGGGUGAAAGCCUGAUCCAGCCAUCCCGCGUGAAGGAUGACGGUCCUAUGGAUUGUAAACUUCUUUUGUAUAGGGAUAAACCUAGAUACGUGUAUCUAGCUGAAGGUACUAUACGAAUAAGCACCGGCUAACUCCGUGCCAGCAGCCGC
rnacentral:rRNA from 1 species